GAUGAACGCUGGCGGCGUGCCUAAUACAUGCAAGUCGAGCGAACGGACGAGAAUCUUGCUUCUCUGAUGUUAGCGGCGGACGGGUGAUUAACACGUGUAUAACCGACCUAUAAGACUGGGAUAACUUCAGGGAACCGGAUCUAAUACCGGAUAAUAUGUUGAACCGCAGGGUUCAAAAGUGAAAGACGGUCUUGCUGUCACUUAUAGAUGUAUCCGCGCUGGAUUAGCUAGUUGGUAAGGUAACGGCUUACCAAGGCGACGAUGCAUAGCCGACCUGAGAGGGUGAUCAGCCACACGGGAACUGAGGCACGGUCCAGACUCCUACGGGAGGCAGCAGUAGGGAAUCUUCCGCAAUGGGCGAAAGCCUGACAGAGCAACGCCGCGUGAGUGAUGAAGGUCUUCGGAUCGUAAAGCUCUGUAAGUAGGGAGGAAGAUAAGUGAAUGUAACUGUGCACAUCUUGACGGUACCUAAAGAGAAAGCCACGGCUAACUUCGUG
rnacentral:rRNA from 1 species